rnacentral:rRNA from 1 species
AGUUUGAUCAGUGGCUACAGGACGAACGCUGGCGGCACGCUUAACACAUGCAAGUCGAACGGAGAAUUUUGGUUACUGAGAAUUCUAGUGGCGGACGGGUGAGUAACACGUGAGCAACCUGCCUCUGAGAGAGGGAUAGCUUCUGGAAACGGAUGGUAAUACCUCAUAACAUAACGAAGCCGCAUGACUUUGUUAUCAAAGAUUUAUCACUCAGAGAUGGGCUCGCGUCUGAUUAGAUAGUUGGUGAGGUAACGGCUCACCAAGUCGACGAUCAGUAGCCGGACUGAGAGGUUGAACGGCCACAUUAGGACUGAGACACGGCCCAGACUCCUACGGGAGGCAGCAGUGGGGAAUAUUGCACAAUGGGGGAAACCCUUGAUGCAGCGAUGCCGCGUGGAGGAAGAAGGUUUUCGGAUUGUAAACUCCUGUCUUAAAGGACGAUAAUGACGGUACUUUAGGAGGAAGCUCCGGCUAACUACGUGCCAGCAGCCGC